rnacentral:rRNA from 1 species
ACGAACGCUGGCGGCAUGCCUAACCCAUGCAAGUCGCACGCGACCUUCGGGUCUAGUGGCGCACGGGUGCGUAACGCGUGGGAACCUGCCCUUAGGUUCGGAAUAACUCCCCGAAAGGGGUGCUAAUACCGGAUAAUGUCUUCGGACCAAAGAUUUAUCGCCUUUGGAUGGGCCCGCGUUGGAUUAGCUAGUUUGUAGGGUAAAAGCCUACCAAGGCGACGAUCCAUAGCUGGUCUGAGAGGAUGAUCAGCCACACUGGGACUGAGACACGGCCCAGACUCCUACGGGAGGCAGCAGUGGGGAAUAUUGGACAAUGGGCGAAAGCCUGAUCCAGCAAUGCCGCGUGAGUGAUGAAGGCCUUAGGGUUGUAAAGCUCUUUUACCCGGGAUGAUAAUGACAGUACCGGGAGAAUAAGCUCCGGCUAACUCCGUG